rnacentral:tRNA from 1 species
GCGGGUAUAGUUUAGUGGUAGAACAACUGCCUUCCAAGCAGUAAACGAGAGUUCGAUUCUCUCUACCCGCA